UACAGAGGAUGCAAGCGUUAUCCGGAAUGAUUGGGCAUAAAGCGUCUGUAGGUGGCUUUUUAAGUCCGCCGUCAAAUCCCAGGGCUCAACUCUGGACAGGCGGUGGAAACUACCAAGCUGGAGUACGGUAGGGGCAGAGGGAAUUUCCGGUGGAGCGGUGAAAUGCGUUGAUAUCGGCUGGAACUCCGAUGGCGAAGGCAAGGUGCUGGACCCUCUCUGACGCUGAGGCGCGAAAGCCAGGGGAGCGAACGGG
rnacentral:rRNA from 1 species